GUCUAUGGCCAUACCACCCUGAACGCACCUGAUCUCGUCUGAUCUCAGGCCUGGUUAGUACUUGGAUGGGAGACAAGUAGAUGGAAAAAAGAAAAGAAAAAUGGAGACCUACUGUUACUCCAAAGUAACAGUAUACA
rnacentral:rRNA from 1 species